UGGGGAAUUUUGGACAAUGGGGGAAACCCUGAUCCAGCCAUCCCGCGUGUGCGAUGAAGGCCUUCGGGUUGUAAAGCACUUUUGGCAGGAAAGAAACGUCAUGGGUUAAUACCCCGUGAAACUGACGGUACCUGCAGAAUAAGCACCGGCUAACUACGUGCCAGCAGCCGCGGUAAUACGUAGGGUGCAAGCGUUAAUCGGAAUUACUGGGCGUAAAGCGUGCGCAGGCGGUUCGGAAAGAAAGAUGUGAAAUCCCAGAGCUCAACUUUGGAACUGCAUUUUUAACUACCGGGCUAGAGUGUGUCAGAGGGAGGUGGAAUUCCGCGUGUAGCAGUGAAAUGCGUGGAUAUGCGGAGGAACACCGAUGGCGAAGGCAGCCUCCUGGGAUAACACUGACGCUCAUGCACGAAAGCGUGGGGAGCAAUCAGG
rnacentral:rRNA from 1 species